rfam:Camelus ferus unplaced genomic scaffold scaffold12865, whole genome shotgun sequence.
GAGGGUAUAGCUGAGUGGUAGAGUGCGUGCUUAGCAGGCAUGAGGUCCUGGGUUCAAUCCCCAGCACCUCCA